rnacentral:rRNA from 1 species
GACGGAGGAUGCAAGUGUUAUCCGGAAUCACUGGGCGUAAAGCGUCUGUAGGUGGUUAAAAGUCUGCUGUUAAAAUUGAAGCCGUUAACUUCAAAGAUGCCGUGAGAAACUUUUAAACUAGAGUAUGAUAGGGGUAGAGGGAAUUCCAGUGGAGCUGGUGAAAUGUGAUAGAUAUUGGAAAGACCGACCAAUGGCGAAGGCACUCUGCGUGGGCCGACACUGACACUGAGAGACGAAAAGCUGGGGGAGCAAAUGGG